rfam:Picea glauca, whole genome shotgun sequence.
UCAAUGGCCCUCAUCAGGGCCAUAUCACCAAAAAAUAUAUGUAUCAU